GAGAGACGCUGGCGGCGUGGAUUAGGCAUGCAAGUCGGACGGUAGGGCUUUAUCGUAAGAUAGAGUUUGAGAGUGGCGAACGGGUGAGUAACACGUAGGAAUCUACCCUUAAGACGGGGACAACCCAGGGAAACUUGGGCUAAUACCGGAUGAGAGUGCGAGAGAUUGCAUUUAAAAGGAUGGCGAAAGUUGUCGCUUAGGGAUGAGCCUGCGGUCUAUUAGUUAGUUGGUGAGGUAAGAGCUCACCAAGGCGAUGAUAGAUAGGCGGCCUUAACGGGUGGUCGCCCACACUGGGAUUGAGAUACGGCCCAGACUCCUACGGGAGGCAGCAGUCGAGAAUAGUCUACAAUGGUCGGAAGACUGAUAGUGCGACGCCGCGUGAACGAUGAAUCCCUUCGGGGUGUAAAGUUCUUUUAUAUGUGAGCAGUGCUUCUUAUAUUAACAGUAUGGGGAGAGAGAUAUUAGCAUAUGAAUAAGCAACGGCUAACUCCGUG
rnacentral:rRNA from 1 species